CCUACGGGAGGCAGCAGUGGGGAAUUUUGGACAAUGGGCGCAAGCCUGAUCCAGCCAUGCCGCGUGUGGGAAGAAGGCCUUCGGGUUGUAAACCACUUUUGUCAGGGAAGAAACGGUUUGAUCUAAUACAUCGGACUAAUGACGGUACCUGAAGAAUAAGCACCGGCUAACUACGUGCCAGCAGCCGCGGUAAUACGUAGGGUGCAAGCGUUAAUCGGAAUUACUGGGCGUAAAGCGUGCGCAGGCGGCUUUGCAAGACAGAUGUGAAAUCCCCGGGCUCAACCUGGGAACUGCAUUUGUGACUGCAUGGCUAGAGUACGGUAGAGGGGGAUGGAAUUCCGCGUGUAGCAGUGAAAUGCGUAGAUAUGCGGAGGAACACCGAUGGCGAAGGCAAUCCCCUGGACCUGUACUGACGCUCAUGCACGAAAGCGUGGGGAGCAAACAGGAUUAGAUACCCUGGUAGUCCACGCCCUAAACGAUGUCAACUGGUUGUUGGACGGCUUGCUGUUCAGUAACGAAGCUAACGCGUGAAGUUGACCGCCUGGGGAGUACGGCCGCAAGGUUGAAACGUCAAAGGAAUUGACGG
rnacentral:rRNA from 1 species